GCAGAAUUAAUUAGUUUCAGUGAUGUACUCACGUGGCUCCAACCAGCAUACACAGAAGCAACAAACUUUUAAAUGAGUAUAACUUUCAUACAAGAAGUUAGGUUAAAAUACAUAGAUACUGUUGUUCCUUGGUAAAUGAAUCCUUUGCGCAGAUGGGACAAGCAAUUAACGGAUGGAACAAUUAGUAUAGUUACUCAAAGGGCUACUGGAAACGUCAAAAUAUUUACCCCCAGCACGCAGCUUUAUGUCCUUCCGCUUCUAUACGUUCUGCCAGAGUCUCAAGGAUAAUGAUAUGGCCUCCAUAUCACUGAAAAAUAUCAGAAGCCAGCUUGUGGGUUAGCAAAACAGCCUAGACGAUGGUACUAUAUCUAGGACGACUAAUAUAUGAGCAAAGCCAACGAUAGAGUCUAGCCAUAUCAUAAUGAUAUAUUCUGUUCAAUCAGAUUAAACAUUGAAAACCACUCAAAAGUGAAUCAGAAACCAGAAUAUGACCCACUUCUUAUUUUAGCUAUUAGAGUAUCAAAAUCAAAAAGCAUAAAGAAUAUCAAAAUCACAUAAAUUAACACUUAACAGGAAAACUUCAGGUAACGAGGGGACUAUCAAUAUGCAUGCAAAUUAUGCAGUAAUUGCAUGAAUCCCUUAAAUUAGUGACUCCAGCUUAUCCAGCUUAUUUAUCAUUAAGAAAGAGUUCCUCACCUCAGGAUAACAGUUUUGACGGACAAUAGUCUGGCUGUCAGCACUCACAUACACUUCACAUGACAAUCUUGCCUUGAUAGGAAUUUUGAAAAACAAGAGCCCAAGCUCUCCAUUAAUCUUGGUAUCGGUAUCAAGAGGGAUAACACCCCUAGUUAAAUCCUCGAUCAAGUAAAACACAUCGCGUAUAAUCUGGAGCCCAUUUAAAUCAAGCGUGGCAUUCACAUACGACGAUCCUCUCGCCCUAAGUUUCCCUCCCUGAGAAUUCACAAUCCCUAGCUCUCUCCCUCUGUACCCAACAGAAACAUCGAGAGAGUCAUACUCCAAAGAGAAGAAGUCACUGUUUCGAACCCUGAUGACAAGAGAGAAAGAAAGGUCGAGAGUGAGUUUCGGGUACGAGUUGACACGGAUGUGAUUGAGGCGAAUUCGAGCGACUUGGAGAGUAGGGUCGGAGGGGUAGAGAAAGAAAACGGCAGCAGAGAGGAGGAGGAUGGCGGCAGCGAAGAGGAUCCAGCGGCGGAGGAAGACGAGUGAAGGGUUGGGAGGUGGGCGGGGGUAGGAAAGAACGAUGACGUUUUGGGGAACACGGUGAGAAGGUACAGAAGAAUAGCGAACGGAAGAGGAUUUUGAAGUCAUGGCUUCAGAUUUCAGGGAAACGUCGGUGAUGUUGUCCUGCUCCUGGGCUUAAUAUGAUUGCUAAACCAAACGCCCCUUUGC
rnacentral:misc_RNA from 1 species